rnacentral:lncRNA from 1 species
UCUUCUACAUCUCUAUAGCCUUCUCCAAUGCGAAUGUCGCUGCCCCUGGUGUUAGACAUUCAGGGUGUGGACCACCCUCCCUGACUGUCCACUGCUGACCAGGAGUCUGGCUUCCUUCGUCUCUAUUUGGAUUUCAGCCAGCAACCUAAGUAGGCGGAUACUGUUUGUACUGUAGGUUGGCUCACUGCCGUCUCCAUAAUGUCGGGUUGUCAGAAAAGUCAGGGUGUGGAAGACUGGCCUUGAGCUUGGCCAUAGUGAUCUCGGCAUUGGGUGGGGUGAUGUUUUUCCCCAUGCCUCUUUCUGUGUCCUGUAUGAGGCCUCUGUAUAGUCAGGUAAACCUGAGGUGUGACUCAGGCUUCUCCCAGAUACUGCUAACGUUGUCCCAGCCUGUAACUCUGCCUAGUGCAGUCCUGGACUCAGCUCUGCUCAUGUCCUGGAUUAAACUGUCUCCCCACCCCUCUGCCUCUUCUUUCUCCCUUUUCCAGUUGCCUCUAGGUCUCCACCAAACUGAGACUGUCAGGAACCUCAUUUUGUUCUGGGCAAGGCUACUACAUGGUUGUGUGUUGACUACUUCAUGGAAUUGUCUUGUCUAUCAGUCAGAACUGGGCUUAAUCUUAAGGAAGAGGGUCUAGGAGAGACUUGAAGACAGGUUUCUCUGAGCUUUUUGAAGAAGAGUCCAGUAUUCCAAAGCCUGACCCCUCCCAGUAUCAUAGAACCUCUGUACCUAGUUGCCCCUGGUAGGGAGGACCCAUGC